CUGUCAUUAGGUAUACCUCUACCAAAGUGGUAGAGGUUAACACAGUAAAGGAGUUUAAGCAUUCGUGGGAUAGGCAUAAGGCUAUCCUAACUAUAAGAUAAGGCUAGGGACUAGUGAAAGUGUUUAGAAAAUUGGGCAGACUAGAUGGGCCAAAUGGUUCUUAUCUGCCAUCACAUUCUAUGUUUCUACAUUCUCUUGGAAUGCAGAUGAGAGAAGAUAUGAAAUAAUGAUGGUUUAAAAAAAGAAAAAAAACAACGUUGCAUAAACACUUUCCAACUGGGUCAAUUUCCUAUAUUUUAGAUCUAUUAUGUCACCUUUAAUACACUGGCUCAUAUUUUUCUUCCUAGUUCUGCCAGGCUGACUGAAUAAUAAAAUGUGUACCAUGUGGUUUUAUACAAGGACAGCACCAUUCUGUCUGGGUGGGGAGCACAAGAUGGAAGUGUCAGCAAGGGUACAAAAAGGAAAAUGUUGGCACAACAAACUAAAGAAAAAAAGUACGAAAUUAAAACUAGUCCCCAAAAAAAAAAAAAGUAUAGACAGAUAAUCUACAAUACUUGAUAUUUAUUAAAAUGUUUGCUCUAAAAAGCAAAUAGAACAACACAUGAAAAAGGUUAAAAUUUACUGGUGACGUUCUGUGGUUUAUUCAAUGGUGUCAUUUUCAGAGAAGUAGCAAUGCCUCUCUAAGGUUUAAAUGGCUUAAAGUAUUUCUUACUGUACCAGUCAUGUAAAACGUUGUGGUAACACACUUCAUUUUCCCAUAAUGCUAGAGCCAAACCGCACUUAGCUGCUAAGUUUUAAAAAGACAAACUUCAGAGAAUAUUAGAGGUCCUGAUGGUAUUGAUUUGUACCUUUAAAUAGUAGUGCAAACUAAAUGAUAGAAAUGUGAAUUGGUGUUAUCUUUACAAUGUAUGUACAGGUUCAACACUUGAGCUCUACCCCCAUGGACCACACCAAAUCAGAUAUGCAAAAAAGAAACGUUAAUGUGUAGUGCUGUUUUACAUAUACAACUUAUCCCUAUAUUUAUAGAGUAUACAAACCUUUGGCAUCGACACUUGCAUUCUGAUUUUGAAAAUACAUUUAAGGUGAGAUUUAGUAAUCAGGAAAAUGAAGGAGAGGUGAAACUCUUAGUUGAUAAAGUGACAAAUCUUUUUCAUUGCGAAGAAGAGGCUCAGAAGAGUAAGUUUGCUGUAGAGCCAGAUUCUUAGUGAUUAUUGAAUAAUAAUCACAGUCCUGAAGUGUUGCAAUAAAUUGAAAACUGAAUGGAAUCUUUUUUUUUUUUGUGCAAAAUUAGCCAAGAUGUGAUGAAAGCUAACCGGAAUCUUCUCUAAAGUGAGGAAGUUCAUUUCAAAUUUAAGUUCAAACUAGCCAAACUGGAGUAACUUUGAAAGUAUCCUUGACUUAGAGUUUGGAUACUCCGGCCAUCAAUUUGAAAUUCACUUUGAAUUCUCAAUUUAGUCAACAGCCCUGUUCAUUGGAGUAUCCAAUUCACUGCUAAGUAAAUAAGUUAUAGUUUAUAGUUUAAUUAUAAUUUUAAAAAAAGUCAUAUUUUGAUUAAACCUUAUUCAAAGCAGCAAUGUAGAAAAAGGCAACUUAAAGGGAAACUGUCACUUCUCUGGAUUUUGAACAUUAAAGUUUAUGUAUCCCCGUAUAUUUAACAAAUAGGUGUUUGAGGUGUGAAAAUUAAAUUGAGAAAUUCACACCCCUAUCCUGCAAGGGGAUGCCUCCAUCUUGGCUCUCUGUUAUUAGGUAUACAUUCUCUUGCAGAGAAGCGCAAAUAUGAAAUAAUGUUGGUUAUGCAUAAAAAAAAAAAAAAAAUGUU